UAGUCCACGCCGUAAACGAUGAAUGCUAGUUGUUGGGAUUUUUCUCAGUGACGAAGUUAACGCAAUAAGCAUUCCGCCUGGGGAGUACGGCCGCAAGGUUAAAACUCAAAGGAAUUGACGGGGGGCCUGCACAAGCGGUGGAGCAUGUGGUUUAAUUCGACGCAACGCGCAGAACCUUACCAGCUUUUGACAUCCUGGUCGCGGAUUUGGGAGACCAUUUCCCUCAGUUCGGCUGGACCAGUGACAGGUGCUGCAUGGCUGUCGUCAGCUCGUGUCGUGAGAUGUUGGGUUAAGUCCCGCAACGAGCGCAACCCUCAUCCUUAGUUGCCAGCAUUUAGUUGGGCACUCUAAGGAAACUGCCGGUGAUAAGCCGGAGGAAGGUGGGGAUGACGUCAAGUCCUCAUGGCCCUUACAAGCUGGGCUACACACGUGCUACAAUGGCGAUGACAGUGAGCAGCUAACCCGCGAGGGCAAGCUAAUCUCUAAAAGUCGUCUCAGUUC
rnacentral:rRNA from 1 species